CCCAGCGUGCCCAGUUCAAGGAGUUGUGUUGAUCAGCAGCCAGCCACUCUGAGGCCAAGCCAACAGUCCUCAAGAAAGAAUCCUGUCGGAAGAGGAGGGUUGGAGAUGACUAGAUGCUUACAGUCAUGGAUGGGGCACUGACGAUGGAAG